GACGUAGGGCGCGAGCGUUGUCCGGAUUUAUUGGGCGUAAAGAGCUCGUAGGCGGUUUGUCGCGUCUGCUGUGAAAACGCGAGGCUCAACCUCGCGCCUGCAGUGGGUACGGGCAGACUAGAGUGCGGUAGGGGAGAUUGGAAUUCCUGGUGUAGCGGUGGAAUGCGCAGAUAUCAGGAGGAACACCGAUGGCGAAGGCAGAUCUCUGGGCUGUAACUGACGCUGAGGAGCGAAAGCAUGGGGAGCGAACAGG
rnacentral:rRNA from 1 species